rnacentral:lncRNA from 1 species
CUUUCUCCUUGCUUCUUUCCUUCUAACUCGAAAAGUGCGCUCAAUUUCUGGAUCUGGUUCGAAAUUUCCAACACUUUUCGAUCUUCGCAUAUAUAUGGUGCACCUGAAACGAAACACCAAUGAGAUAGAUCUUGAAAACAAAUUUAAUAAAAUCUAAACAAGAAGAAAUUCAAAGAAGAGCAUGUUGUUAAGCUAAGCACACACGCACAAUCUGUACUUGUGUUCACUAAGCAGUUCUAUUACGGUGUGAGCUUGAUAUUUCUAAACUUGUUGCAUAUUCUGAUGAUUAUCAC